rnacentral:rRNA from 1 species
UACGAAGGGGGCUAGCGUUGCUCGGAAUGACUGGGCGUAAAGGGCGCGUAGCGGAUGGCACAGUCAGAUGUGAAAUUCCCGGGCUUAACCUGGGGGCUGCAUUUGAUACGUGUUGUCUAGAGUGAGGAAGAGGGUCGUGGAAUUCCCAGUGUAGAGGUGAAAUUCGUAGAUAUUGGGAAGAACACCGGUGGCGAAGGCGGCCUGCUGGGCAGUUGCUGACACUGAGGCGCGACAGCGUGGGGAGCAAACAGG